rnacentral:lncRNA from 1 species
UCCCUCCCCCUCCUUCCUCCCUCCGUUCCUCCCUUUUUCCCUUACUCUCUUCCUCCCUUCCUCCUUUCCUUUCUCCCUUCCUCCUCUCCUUCCUUCUUCCCUGCCUCCCUUCUUCCCUUCCUCCCUUCCUCCCUUCCUUCCUCCCAUGUGCUCACUACAUACAAAAUGGCCACUUUCAGCUUCCCCUACUUGGGAUCAAUGAGGCAACCUGUUUGAGCCUAUUGAUUUUGUCCUUCCUGCACUGGAUAGAAG